rnacentral:lncRNA from 1 species
GGCAUGAGCCACCGCACCUGGUCCUAUUUCCCUUUUCUAGACUCAAGCUAUACUCCAUAUUUAUUGGAAGCCAGUUACUAAGACCCGCUUACACUCAAAAGGAGUGGAAUCGAGACAGGGUUUCGCCAUGUUGCUAAGGCUGGUCUUGAACUCUCGGACUCAAGUGAUCCUCCUGCCUCAGCCUCCCAAAGUGCUGGGAUUACAGGACUUCUUCCUGCCACCUUGUGAAGAAGGUGCUUUGCUUCCUUUUUGCUUUCCGUCAUGAUUGUAAGUUUCCUGAGGCCUCCCCAGCCAUGCUGAACUGUGAGUCAAUUAAACCUCUUUCCUUUAUAAAUUACCCAGUCUCGGGCCGUUCUUUAUAGCAGUAUGAAAAUGGACUAAUACAGCUUGUGUGAUAAUUUCACUGGAUGAUGUGAAGGCUUUUUUGAAAAUGUUCAAGGCUCUGCCCAAAUAUGUGAUGGUGGAAUUUAUUAUGAUAUGCAAAUGAUACUUAUAAUAGUGAUGUGAUUUUAUUUAUUUAUUUAUUUUUUUUGAGACAGGGUCUCACUCUGUCUCUCAGGAUGGAGUGCAGUGGUGCGAUCACAGCUCACUGCAGUCUCAACCUCCUGGGCUCAAUUGAUCCUCCCACCUCAGCCUCUUGAGCAACUGGGACUACAGGCAUGCACCAACACACC